rnacentral:rRNA from 1 species
GACGAACGCUGGCGGCGUGCUUAACACAUGCAAGUCGAACGUGAUUUUUGUGGAAAUUCUUUCGGGAAUGGAAAUGAAAUGAAAGUGGCGAACGGGUGAGUAACACGUGAGCAACCUACCUUACACAGGGGGAUAGCCGUUGGAAACGACGAUUAAUACCGCAUGAGACCACAGAAUCGCAUGAUAUAGGGGUCAAAGAUUUAUCGGUGUAAGAAGGGCUCGCGUCUGAUUAGCUAGUUGGAAGGGUAAAGGCCUACCAAGGCGACGAUCAGUAGCCGGUCUGAGAGGAUGAACGGCCACAUUGGAACUGAGACACGGUCCAAACUCCUACGGGAGGCAGCAGUGGGGAAUAUUGCACAAUGGGGGGAACCCUGAUGCAGCGACGCCGCGUGAGCGAAGAAGGUUUUCGAAUCGUAAAGCUCUGUCCUAUGAGAAGAUA